rnacentral:rRNA from 1 species
CCUACGGGUGGCAGCAGUGGGGGAUAUUGCACAAUGGGGGGAACCCUGAUGCAGCGACGCCGCGUGGGUGAAGAAGGGCCUCGGGGCGUAAAGCCCUGUCAGCAGGGAAGAAAGUGACGGUACCUGAAGAAGAAGCCCCGGCCAACUACGUCCCAGCAGCCGCGGUAAUACGCAGGGGGCAAGCGUGAGCCGGAUUGACUGGGUGUAAAGGGAGCGGAGACGGCGAGGCAAGCCAGGCGUGAAAGCCCGGGGCCCAACCCCGGGACUGCUCUUGGAGCUGCGUGGCUGGAGUGCAGUAGGGGCAGGCGGAAUUCCUGGUGUAGCGGUGAAAUGCGUAGAUAUCAGGAGGAACACCGGUGGCGAAGGCGGCCUGCUGGACUGCAACUGACGUUGAGGCCCGAAAGCGUGGGGAGCAAACAGGAUUAGAUACCCUAGUAGUC